AUUCACGAUGUUUGUACAUCUGCUAAGAAAAGUCAGCAAAAACGUAAAACCUCAACGUCAAUAUGGAGUCAACAUACAAAUGAUAGGAGACAUGCUGGACAACCCUUAUUCUCACCACCUCAGGACAGGAGACAUGCUUGACAGCCCUUAUUCUCACCACCUCAGGACAGGAGACAUGCUGGGCAGCCCUUAUUCUCACCACCUCAGGACAGGAGACAUGCUGGACAGCCCUUAUUCUCACCACCUCAGGACAGGAUACAUGCUGGACAGCCCUUAUUCUCACCACCUCAGGACAGGAGACAUGCUGGACAGCCCUUAUUCUCACCACCUCAGGACAGGAGACAUUCUGGACAGCCCUUAUUCUCACCACCUCAGGACAGGAAGGAGGUUUUCACUCAAAAUCUCACGAUACAUGGUUUUGAAUGGGAAACCACUGGAGUGUGCAGAACUGGGGAAUUUGACUAAAGUCAGUGGUUAUAACUGCAUCCCAAAUGGCACCCUAUUGUCUAUAUAGGGCACUACUUUUGACCAGGGCCCCUAGUGCACUAUGUAGGGAAUAGGGUGCUAUUUGGAACAUAGUCUAUGAGCACCUGCCCUUUACAUCGGUAAUGAAAUGUAGGUAAGUUAUGUUUGUGACUUUUACAAAAAUGCACCAAGCAGGUUUAAGAAAUCUAAUGUUGCCAGUGGUUCUAGGAUUCAGCUCAGAGGUCUACACAGUGUCGUGGUGUGCAGGAGACCUAGGUUCUAACCUAGCUGGUCUCAUUAGGAAGCAGGUAACAUGGAAGGAUACUUAUUUAAAAUGUGUAAUGGAGACGUUGGCUUUUCAGCCUUUUGAUAUACCAUUCAGUGUUCAUCAUAAAAUAAUAGUUGAACUAGAUCUUAUAAUCAAACACAUUGUUUUCUAUGUUGUGGUCCAGCCUUGAAGUGGAAAUAUAAGCCUGAAUAUUUGACUGGGGAAAAGUAACACUAAAGGACUUUUUCAUGGCACUGACUGCAGAUAUGAAGUGCAUUGUGAAAUGAAUGAAUAGUCAUGAUUAAAAAUGACAGAUUACAUAACAGAAAUAAUACAAAUAUUACCUUUGUUAAUGAGCAGGAUGCCAAACCAGCCUAUACAAUAUAUGAAUGCAGAUCUGUACUAAUAAUACCCAGAUAUUUGUUCUUGUCAACAGUCUCCCCAAACUGAUCCUUUACAGUCCUUUGUUGAGAGGAAGGGAAGAUCAACUGACCAUAACAGAAUCGUUCACACAUUUUGUGUCUUCCUUCAUAGGUGCUCUGGGAGUCAUAUUUUCAUUGUGAAUUGAGCUGAAUUGACAAAGUUGCAUCAGUGUCCCAACAUUUUUAUUAGAUCUCAGAAUCUGAAGAAAGGUUCAUUUCCUCUGACACUUUUGCAUCAACGUUGGUAAUUUUAGACUGUGAGGCAGUGCAUCUCCACCUCCUAAUGCAAAUGAAAAUGCCCAAUAGAAUAAGAAUCAGCAGCAUCACCAGUAGAGCUGAGAGGGUUGAUAGGUGAACUCUCUCUGUCCCAGACUCCCAACUGACAUCCAGCUUGUUGUCCAGACUGAGGUGAGAGGCAGUACAGGUGUAGUUGUGUCUCUUCUUUAGCUCCUCAGUACUGACCUCCAGACUCUUCCUCAGCUGGUAGGUCCCGUCUCCACUAGGCAGCACCUCCCCCCCUGUCAGCUCCUGUUCUGCCACUGGCUGGCCGUCUCUCAGCAGGGUCAGGUUGAUGUGGCGGGGAUAGAAACCAAACGCCAGGCAGCUCAUCUGGAACCCUCCAGAAACCUCUUUCUUUAUCAACCUGAGUCUGGGAGGAACUUCACGCAUCACAAUGUUCUUCUCCCUCUUCAGGAGUUUCUUCUGUGUUCUGAUACAAAUGGGAAGGUGAACGUUCUCAAAUAAUACUCUUUCAAACGCUUGCCUCAUCCCAUCCCAUCCUCGUAGUAGUUUCCCAGCAUCAUAUAUAAAAUGUGUCAUGUUGUAAUAUACCAUUUCUCUGGAUAAGAGCGUCUGCUAAAUGACUUAAAUGUAAAUGUAAAUCUGUAUAAAUGGCAUUGAAAGUGUCCUUCACCAUGAACAUGACCGGUUCACCAUUGUCCAACAUCUCACAGCCAGACAUUCUUUGCUGAACUUGAACACCUUCUGUGAGGUUGAAGUGGU